rnacentral:RNase_P_RNA from 1 species
AACAGAGAGCAAACCGCCGAUGGCCCACGCGAGUGGGAUCAGGUAAGGGUGAAAGGGUGCGGUAAGAGCGCACCGCGCGGCUGGUAACAGUCCGUGGCACGGUAAACUCCACCCGGAGCAAGGCCAAAUAGGGGUUCAUAAGGUACGGCCCGUACUGAACCCGGGUAGGCUGCUUGAGCCAGUGAGCGAUUGCUGGCCUAGAUGAAUGACUGUCCACGACAGAACCCGGCUUAUCGGUCAGUUUCACCU